rnacentral:lncRNA from 1 species
AUUUGCCUCUUCAUUUCUCUUUCUUGUUUCCCAUACCAUCUAGUAGAUUUUUCUGAGAUUGCACAAAAUAGUUAUUUUUCCUUAGUUUACAGAACUUACUUUACAAUAAUCAUUAUGGUGCAUAUAUUGAAAUAACCUAACUUGAUUAAAUAUGAAAGCUUUUUUUUUUAAUUUAAGAACUAACUGCUGGUACAUAUACACCAUGGAAUACUAUGCAGCCAUAAAAAGGAAUGAGAUCAUGUCCUUUGCAGAGACAUGGUUGGAGCUGGAAGCCAAUAUCCUCCACAGACUAACACAGGAACAGAAAGCCAAACGUCACAUGUUCUCACUUAUAAGUGGGAGCUGAACAAUGAGAACUCAUGGACACAGGGAGGGGAACAACACACACUGUGGCCUGUCAAGGGGGUGGAGGGAGGGAGAACAUCAGGAAAAAUAGCUAAUGCAUGUGGGGCUUAAUACCUAGGUGAUGGGUCGACAGGUGCAGCAAACCACCAUGGCACAUGUUUACCUACAUGACAAACCUGCAUGUCAUGUCCUGCACAGGUAUCCUGGAACUUAAAAGAAAAUUAAAUUAAUUUUUGUUAAAAAGAACUAAUUGCCUAAGCUUCAAAGCAUUCUACAAAAUAUUUAUUUCCACCACAAAGCAGAUUAAUAUAUAUAUAGCCAGUUCUUAUAAGUGUCAUUGUAAACAUUUCCAAAAGAACAGUGUUCCAAAGUCUAUGGAAAGAGAACUCUACCAUUGUGUAAGAGACUUCUUGUGGCAUUAGUGCUAUUUUAAAUCUAGAAUUAAAACAAGGCUUUGAAAGGAAAAGCCAGCACCAUCAGUUUUCAGGGACAAUAGGGACAUACUCUAGAGGACUUCAGUGAGGACUCCAAGACAGAAGAGAGCUGCUAGAAACAGCAUGUGCUGAUUGAAGUUGAGAGUUCAGAGUAAGAGGUAAGGGUCUGAGAGUCACAGUUCAAAUGCUCCUUGGACCUUCUAUUACAAAUGGAACUAGGGACUCAUGAGAAUGAUUAGAUUGAAUUGUAAUUUUUCUGUUAAUGCACAUCUGUGAGCUCCUAAGUAAGGGAUUGAAUUUCAUUCUUCUUAAUAAAUCUCUAC